AGAGUUUGAUCAUGGCUCAGGACGAACGCUGACGGUGUGCUUUAGACAUGCAAGUCGAACGAGAAAGCCCUUCGGGGUGAGUACAGUGGCGAACGGGUGAGUAACACGUGAGCAACCUGCCCAUGCAUGGGGGAUAACCCGGGGAAACCCGGGCUAAUACCGCAUACGUUCUCUCUGUCGAGUGGCGGGGAGAGGAAAGCUCCUGUGAGGGAGCGUGCGUGGAGGGGCUCGCGGCGUAUCAGCUAGCUGGUGGGGUAACGGCUCACCAGGGCGACGACGCGUAGCCGAUCUGAGAGGAUGAUCGGCCACAUUGGGACUGAGAUACGGCCCAGACUCCUACGGGAGGCAGCAGUGGGGAAUAUUGCACAAUGGGCGAAAGCCUGAUGCAGCGACGCCGCGUGAGGGAUGACGGCCUUCGGGUUGUAAACCUCUUUCAGUAGGGAAGAAGCGAAAGUGACGGUACCUGCAGAAGAAGCGCCGGCUAACUACGUGCCAGCAGCCGCGGUAAUACGUAGGGCGCAAGCGUUAUCCGGAAUUAUUGGGCGUAAAGAGCUCGUAGGCGGUUUGUCGCGUCUGCUGUGAAAACCCGAGGCUCAACCUCGGGCCUGCAGUGGGUACGGGCAGACUAGAGUGCGGUAGGGGAGAUUGGAAUUCCUGGUGUAGCGGUGGAAUGCGCAGAUAUCAGGAGGAACACCGAUGGCGAAGGCAGAUCUCUGGGCCGUAACUGACGCUGAGGAGCGAAAGCAUGGGGAGCGAACAGGAUUAGAUACCCCCGUAGUCC
rnacentral:rRNA from 1 species